GACAGAGGUGCCGAGCGUUAGGCGGAAUCACUGGGCUUAAAGCGCGUGUAGGCGGAUUCUUAAGUGUCUUGUGAAAUCCCACGGCUCAACCGUGGAACUGCUGGGCAUACUGGGAAUCUUGGGCCACUCAGGGGCGACCGGAACAAGCGGUGGAGCGGUGAAAUGCGUAGAUAUCGCUUGGAACGCCAAAGGUGAAGACAGGUCGCUGGGGGUGUGCCGACGCUGAGACGCGAAAGCCAGGGGAGCAAACGGG
rnacentral:rRNA from 1 species